rnacentral:rRNA from 1 species
CCUUUAUGAGAGUUUGAUCCUGGCUCAGAACGAACGCUGGCGGCGCGCCUAAUACAUGCAAGUCGAGCGAGAAGACGUAGCAAUACGUUUGUAAAGCGGCGAACGGGUGAGGAAUACAUGGGUAACCUACCCUCGAGUGGGGAAUAACUAGCCGAAAGGUUAGCUAAUACCGCGUACGCUCCUUGGACUUCGGUUCAGGGAGGAAAGCGAUACCGUGGGUAUCGCGCUCUUGGAUGGGCUCAUGUCCUAUCAGCUUGUUGGUGAGGUAACGGCUCACCAAGGCUUCGACGGGUAGCUGGUCUGAGAGGACGAUCAGCCACACUGGCACUGCGACACGGGCC